rnacentral:rRNA from 1 species
CCUACGGGGGGCUGCAGUGAGGAAUCUUGGUCAAUGGGCGCGAGCCUGAACCAGCCAAGUAGCGUGAAGGAUGACUGCCCUCCGGGUUGUAAACUUCUUUUAUAAAGGCAUCAAGUGAGGCACGUGUGCCUUUUUGUAUGUACUUUAUGAAUAAGGCUCGGCUAACUCCGUGCCAGCAGCAGCGGUAAUACGGAGGAUCCGAGCGUUAUCCGGAUUUCUUGGGUUUAAAGGGAGCGUAGAUGGGUUGUUAAGUCAGUGGUGAAAGUUUGCGGCUCAACCGUAAAAUUGCAAUUGAUACUGGCAGCCUUGAGUACAGGUGAGGUAGGCGGAAUUCGUGGUGUAGCGGUGAAAUGCUUAGAUAUCACGAAGAACUCCGAUUGCGAAGGCAGCCUACUAAACUGCCACUGACAUUGAUGCUCGAAAGUGUGGGUAUCAAACAGGAUUAGAUACCCUGGUAGUC